GUGUUCGGACAAAGGAGAGAUGGUUGGCACUUCCCUGACAGGGACGGGAACAACCUUCAGGAUUAUCUGUUACCAGCACAUACUAACUAUAACCCAAUUUUUUUU
rfam:Ricinus communis cultivar Hale ctg_1100012285422, whole genome shotgun sequence.